UCCGUAGGUGAACCUGCGGAAGGAUCAUUACCGAGUGCAGGUCUGCCCCCGGGCAGGCCUAACCUCCCACCCGUGAAUACCUGACCAACGUUGCUUCGGCGGCUACCCCCCGGGGGGUAGCCGCCGGAGACCACACCGAACCUCCUGUCUUUAGUGUUGUCUGAGCUUGAUAGCAAACCUAUUAAAACUUUCAACAAUGGAUCUCUUGGUUCCGGCAUCGAUGAAGAACGCAGCGAACUGCGAUAAGUAAUGUGAAUUGCAGAAUUCAGUGAAUCAUCGAGUCUUUGAACGCACAUUGCGCCCCCUGGCAUUCCGGGGGGCAUGCCUGUCCGAGCGUCAUUGCUGCCCUUCAAGCCCGGCUUGUGUGUUGGGUCGUCGUCCCCCCCGGGGGACGGGCCCGAAAGGCAGCGGCGGCACCGCGUCCGGUCCUCGAGCGUAUGGGGCUUUGUCACCCGCUCGAUUAGGGCCGGCCGGGCGCCAGCCGGCGUCUCCAACCUUCUAUUUUACCAGGUUGACCUCGGAUCAGGUAGGGAUACCCGCUGAACUUAAGCAUAUCAAUAAGCGGAGGA
rnacentral:rRNA from 1 species